rnacentral:rRNA from 1 species
CCUACGGGAGGCAGCAGUGGGGAAUAUUGGACAAUGGGGGCAACCCUGAUCCAGCCAUGCCGCGUGUGUGAAGAAGGCCCUCGGGUUGUAAAGCACUUUCAGUGAGGAAGAACGCCUGGUGGUUAAUACCCAUCAGGAAAGAUAUCACUCACAGAAGAAGCACCGGCUAACUCCGUGCCAGCAGCCGCGGUAAUACGGAGGGUGCGAGCGUUAAUCGGAAUUACUGGGCGUAAAGCGCGCGUAGGUGGCUUGAUAAGCCGGUUGUGAAAGCCCCGGGCUCAACCUGGGAACGGCAUCCGGAACUGUCAAGCUAGAGUGCAGGAGAGGAAGGUAGAAUUCCCGGUGUAGCGGUGAAAUGCGUAGAGAUCGGGAGGAAUACCAGUGGCGAAGGCGGCCUUCUGGACUGACACUGACACUGAGGUGCGAAAGCGUGGGUAGCAAACAGGAUUAGAUACCCCAGUAGUC